AUCGCUUCUCGGCGUUUUGGCUAAGAUCAAGUGUAGCAUCUGUUCUUAUCAGUUUAAUAUCUGAUAUGUCCUCUAUAUGAGGACAACAUAUUAAGCCGAUUUUUGGCAGCGGGAGUUGAAAAAGGAGCUAGCUCCGUUCACUCCAAGCAUCGCCCCGGUACUGCAGUGUCGCCGGGAAUGGUGCACGCUUC